GAAUGCAACGGUAAACUAAAAACUCCAAUUUUGUCCUCAAAUGCAAAUUGCAAAGUUUCAUUGGGUUGAAAUGCAAAUUAAAUUAGGUUAGACCAAAAUUUAAUAGUCUCCCCGCGUUUAAAAGGGGGAGGGCUCCAACGGAGUUAGUUAUCUAUCCAUACAUACAAAAAGGAGGUCGUUUUUUUCGAAACCCUGGUUUUUUGAGGUUUACCGCGCAUCCUCACUGACAAAUUGCAGGAGGAUCCGUAGGGCUAGGGCAAGUUAACAAUGGGCGUUGUGCUUAGGGACGACGAGGCAGCUUUCCGUAAGAUGGGAGACCAUGAUUUGAUCGAUUCUUACCUGGUUUAUCGCGCCAGAGAUACUCUCUGCUCUGUCUCGUCGGCUGAUACCGAAGAUUACCGGCAGCUCCUUAGCGCUAUGAACCCCGAA